AACCUCCGCAAUGUGAGAAAUCGCGACGGGGGGAUCCCAAGUGCCAUUCUUAACGGGAUGGCUUUUCUUAAGUGUAAAAAGCUUUUGGAAUAAGAGCUGGGCAAGACCGGUGCCAGCCGCCGCGGUAACACCGGCAGCUCUAGUGGUAGCUGUUUUUAUUGGGCCUAAAGCGUUCGUAGCCGGUUUGAUAAGUCACUGGUGAAAUCCUGUAGCUUAACUGUGGGAAUUGCUGGUGAUACUGUUGAACUUGAGGUCGGGAGAGGUUAGCGGUACUCCCAGGGUAGAGGUGAAAUUCUGUAAUCCUGGGAGGACCACCUGUGGCGAAGGCGGCUAACUGGAACGAACCUGACGGUGAGGGACGAAAGCUAGGGGCGCGAACCGGAUUAGAUACCCGGGUAGUCCUAGCCGUAAACGAUGCGGACUUGGUGUUGGGAUGGCUUUGAGCCGCUCCGGUGCCGAAGGGAAGCUGUUAAGUCCGCCGCCUGGGAAGUCGGUCGCAAGACUGAAACUUAGAGUAGUG
rnacentral:rRNA from 1 species